rnacentral:rRNA from 1 species
UACGAGAGGCCCAAACGUUAUUCGGAUUUACUGGGCUUAAAGGGUGCGUAGGCGGUGCGGAAAGUUGGGUGUGAAAUCCCUCGGCUCAACCGAGGAACUGCGCUCAAAACUGCCGUACUCGAGGAAGAUAGAGGUGAGCGGAACUUACGGUGGAGCGGUGAAAUGCGUUGAUAUCGUAAGGAACACCCGUGGCGAAAGCGGCUCACUGGGUCUUAUCUGACGCUGAUGCACGAAAGCUAGGGGAGCAAACGGG